rnacentral:rRNA from 1 species
CACGUAGGGCGCGAGCGUUUGUCCGGAAUUAUUGGGCGUAAAGAGCUCGUAGGCGGUUUGUCGCGUCUGCUGUGAAAACCCGAGGCUCAACCUCGGGCCUGCAGUGGGUACGGGCAGACUAGAGUGCGGUAGGGGAGAUUGGAAUUCCUGGUGUAGCGGUGGAAUGCGCAGAUAUCAGGAGGAACACCAAUGGCGAAGGCAGAUCUCUGGGCCGUAACUGACGCUGAGGAGCGAAAGCAUGGGGAGCGAACAGG